GAGAAAAGAAUAAUAGGAAAAAUGGUGGUUACGGUGGUGUGGCAAUGGUGAAGUGGUGGUUUGGUGGUGGAGGAUGUUACAAGUGGUGGUGAAAUAUGGAGAAUUUGGUGGUGCAAAGGAGGAGGUUUAGAGGCUAAAAAUAAAAGAAAAGUGGGAAAAGGAGGAGUAAGGAGGAGGAACAACUAAAAGGGGAGGAAGGGAAAAACAAAAUGAGAGAAAAGUGAAAGAUGUUGGAAAAUGGUGUGGUAUGGGAGGUAGAAGCAAGUCAAAGGAAUGGAAAAUUAAAUUUGGGGGAAAAAGGCAUGAAAAGUGAUCCAAGAGGGAACAUAUGGAGGAAAAGGGGUGCUAAGGG
rnacentral:lncRNA from 1 species